GUGAGGAUCAUCAUCUUUGACUUCUGUUAUUCCACUGAUCAAAGAGGUUGAUUUAGGUGAUUGACUUAGCAGGUUUUUCCUUCCUCUCUUACCACCAAAAUGCAUUCCUCCCAAAGCUGUACACUUAGUUAAAGUAUAUGGCUUUAUAGAAUACAGGAGGACCACUCUUCAAUUAAGGACAGAGGAGUAGUUGUGAUUCCUUAGAAAGAGUAUCCAAACAAAUUCUCAAGAAAUACAAUGUUAGAUUAAAUAAUAAAUAACUUCUAAAUGUGAAUACUGCAGAGACAUGGUGC
rnacentral:snRNA from 1 species